rnacentral:rRNA from 1 species
UACGUAGGUGGCAAGCGUUGUCCGGAUUUACUGGGCGUAAAGAGCGCGCAGGCGGUCGUUCAAGUCGCGUGUGAAAGCCCCCGGCUCAACUGGGGAGGGUCACGCGAUACUGAUCGACUCGAAGGCAGGAGAGGGUAGUGGAAUUCCCGGUGUAGUGGGUGAAAAUGCGUAGAUAUCGGGAGGAACACCAGUGGCGAAGGCGACUACCUGGCCUGUUUCUUGACGCUGAGGCGCGAAAGCUAGGGGAGCAAACGGG